rnacentral:lncRNA from 1 species
UGACAACUUAAAGCGAGACAUAUUGUUCAAAAGGUACAAUAAGAAGGACUAAAAUCUCCUUUCUUACUAUUGCUGAAAACACAAAGACCUACAGCUGUUCAUAUUCAGGUACUUAUUACACAUUAAAAGCUCUUAUGUUACACAGAUAUUUGAAUUGACUUUAUGACUUUAAAUGAAAGAAUGUACAAUUUGAAAUAGGUUCUACAGUAAUCCGUACCCAGAUGCUUAUACGGAGUUCAGUUUCAAUGUGAUGCACACAAGGGAAAGUAAUUUCUGUCUUAGAAUCUCUUCGGUCACUCAGGUGCAAGUUUUGAUUGCUUAAACGAAUGUAUUAAAACAAUAAUAUUUUGUGUUCUUUGCCAAAAUUCAUUUCUAUAAUGUGUCAUAAACAUCAUUACAUUUUUGUACAUUUAUACAUAAUGAAGUAGUUAUGCAAGUUUCUGAGCCAGACUGAUAUAUAGAGAGCUAAAUUUCACCCUUGAGUAAGUGAAUCAGAAGGGAGAGAUGAACAUAAGUGAAGUGAAAAAGGAGUAUGAAUAGACUAUUAAGAAAAAACUAGAAAUGGGGUUACUGAAUCUAAUUUUCAUUGAAAAGUUAAGAAGUGAAGUUAGGUAGGCAAAAUUCCAAGCACACUCCAGGAGCAUUGAGCUGAUUUAUUGAGCUGAGAGGUAAAUAUUCGGGAAGCCAAAG